GAUGAAGAACGCAGUGAAAUGCGAUAAGUAAUGAGAAUUGCAGAAUUCAGUGGAUCAUCGAAUCUUUGAACGCACAUUGCGCCCCUUGGUAUUCCGAGGGGCAUGCCUGUUCGAGCGUCAUUUCAACCCUCAAGCUCUGCUUGGUCUUGGGCCUGGCCGUGAUGGCCGGUCUUAAAAUCAGUGGCGGUGCCGUCGCAGGCUCCAAGCGUAGUACAUCUCUCGCUCUGGAAACUUGGCGGUGCCUGCCAGACAACCCCUAAUUGUCUCUUUCGGUUGACCUCGGAUCAGGUAGGGAUACCCGCUGAACUUAAGCAUAUCAAUAAGCGGAGGA
rnacentral:misc_RNA from 1 species